GAUGAAGAACGCAGCGAAAUGCGAUAAGUAAUGUGAAUUGCAGAAUUCAGUGAAUCAUCCAAUCUUUGAACGCACAUUGCGCCCGCCAGUAUUCUGGCGGGCAUGCCUGUUCGAGCGUCAUUACAACCCUCAGGCCCCCGGGCCUGGCGUUGGGGAUCGGCGGAGCCCCCCGUGGGCACACGCCGUCCCCCAAAUACAGUGGCGGUCCCGCCGCAGCUUCCAUCGCGUAGUAGCUAACACCUCGCGACUGGAGAGCGGCGCGGCCACGCCGUAAAACACCCAACUCUUCUGAAGUUGACCUCGAAUCAGGUAGGAAUACCCGCUGAACUUAAGCAUAUCAAUAAGCGGAGGA
rnacentral:misc_RNA from 1 species